rnacentral:tRNA from 1 species
GGGAAUGUAGCUUAGUGGUAGAGUGCUUGCCUAGCAUGCAUGAAGCCCUGGGUUCAAUUCUCAGUACCA